UAAGGUGAUUAUAGCGUUGGGGCUCACCUCUUACCAUUCCGAACAGAGAAGUUAAGCCCAAUUGCGCCGAUGGUACUACAUUCGUGGGAGAGUAGGUCGUCGCCUUUU
rnacentral:rRNA from 1 species